rnacentral:rRNA from 1 species
GUGGGGAAUUUUGGACAAUGGGCACAAGCCUGAUCCAGCAAUGCCGCGUGCAGGAAGAAGGCCUUCGGGUUGUAAACUGCUUUUGUACGGAACGAAACGGUCCGGGUUAAUACCCUGGGCUAAUGACGGUACCGUAAGAAUAAGCACCGGCUAACUACGUGCCAGCAGCCGCGGUAAUACGUAGGGUGCAAGCGUUAAUCGGAAUUACUGGGCGUAAAGCGUGCGCAGGCGGUUUUGUAAGACAGGCGUGAAAUCCCCGGGCUCAACCUGGGAAUGGCGCUUGUGACUGCAAAGCUGGAGUGCGGCAGAGGGGGAUGGAAUUCCGCGUGUAGCAGUGAAAUGCGUAGAUAUGCGGAGGAACACCGAUGGCGAAGGCAAUCCCCUGGGCCUGCACUGACGCUCAUGCACGAAAGCGUGGGGAGCAAACAGGAUUAGAAACCCGGGUAGUCC